CCUACGGGUGGCAGCAGUGGGGAAUAUUGCACAAUGGGCGCAAGCCUGAUGCAGCGACGCCGCGUGCGGGAUGGAGGCCUUCGGGUUGUAAACCGCUUUUGUUCAAGGGCAAGGCACGGUCGGUGGCCGGGUUGAGUGGAUGGUUCGAAUAAGCACCGGCUAACGACGGGCCAGCAGCCGCGGGAAUCCGUAGGGUGCAAGCGUUCUCCGGAUUUAUUGGGCGUCAAGGGCUCGUAGGCGGUUCGUCGCGUCCGGGGGGAAAGUCCAUCGCUUAACGGUGGAUCCGCGCCGGGUACGGGCGGGCUUGCUUGCGGUAUGGGAGACUGGAAUUCCCGUUGUACCGGU
rnacentral:rRNA from 1 species